AGAUGGACUGGGUUUCAGGGAGGAAGCGGGCAGGGGCGGCUUUGCAGAGUCCACUUUGUGGGGCUCCAUAGUAAGUGCCGACCUCAUCUGGCCCGUUUCAUGAGGCAAAAGGUUGUGAUGCCAGCCCUAGCUAUGGGGAACUGGUGGUGACUGGAAAAUGAAUAUUUAGCAGGUAGUUUGCAGCCUGGAGCAAGGUCAGCUUUGACUGAGAUAGGACAGAGGGGGCCAGGGACCAGCUCAGGUAAUGCCAGAUCUGCCUGAUGCAGCCUAUUCUCAGCUCUUGUUGCCUUCUCCCACCCUAGAAGGACAGGGAGUGCUCAGCAGAGGGGCAGGUGCAGGCAGACUCCUAGGUGUGGAGCCCAGCCCUCCUCGGGCAGUAGGUUGACUCCAGCCUUUUCACUGCCACACUACACAGUGGUCCCUGGGCUGCCACCACUCUGUGGCCACCGUGAGGACAGUCUCUUCCCUCCUGUUCCCAGGGAGGUGAUAGCCUUGUGGGUUGCAGGCAGUCCUUGGGUUGCAGGAAGAGACCAAGGGAAGCCAGACAUCUGGGUUUUGACCUGGCCCUGGAGGGAGCUGGGGUGACCCACAUCCUCCCUGGAAUUCAAAUCAUCAUGGAAAGUGUGGCUGGGACUCAAGGCAUCCAUGUGUGGAAGUGUGAGUGCAUGAUGGAGUGUGUGUGCUCACAAGCAUGUGGUAGAGCUUGUGCAUUGUGUGUGCAUCAUGAGUGUGAGUAUAUGCACAUGAUCAUAUAUGCAUGUACAUACACAAUUGUGAGUGAGACAGAGGAUGCCCCUGUGUUCAUGUGUACUCACAGGUAUAUGUGCUAGUUUGUACAUGCAAGUACACAUAAUGAGUGUGAGAUAGAGUUGCAUGCAAGCGUGUGAGUAUGGUGACAGCCUGUGUGCACGAGCACAUGAUGGCAUGUGUAGGUACAUGUGCACACAUGGGUGAGACAGCAUUGCAUUGGUGUGUGUGCGUAUGAAUGUGUGUAUCUAUACAGCAUGGGACCCUGAAGCCUGGGAAAGUGAGUGUGACACACGCUGGCUUGUGAAUAGUGGACGUUAGCUGAGACGACUUCUCCUGGCAGGUUCAGGGUCAGGGACUGGUGGCUGGGGACUCUGUGCCUGGGUGCUGGAAGUUGGGGGCUGAGAGCUCUGUGUAUGGGGCUGGUUCUCCUGCAGGCUCCAACCCUCCUCAGCCACUCAGUCCACAUCCUUCACCUUCACUUGGCAUCAGGCUUGGCCACGUGGAUCUUGUGGUGGAGGCUGACCAGUCUCAGGAGCAACCUGAUGCCCUCCUGGGAGCACUGGGUCCACCUCAUGCCUUGCUCCCUCUCCUCUGGACUCAUUCAAAUCAGCCUUCAGGUGGCCAGUGAAUGUUAGCCUGCCAAAUUCCGAGAGCCAGCCCCCGCCAUCUCCUCUAGCCUCUGACGGUAUCCCCCAACCAGUAACUUGGUGGUGUUCAGCAGGGCUUUCUGCACGUGUCUAUGGGGGAUCCUGGUGCCUCAGAGCUCAGAGGAGGACAGUUUCCCCACCACAGGCCAAUGACCUGGAUGGCUGUGGGCACCUCAGAGGCCCCACCCCAUAUGGUGUGGAUGGGCAGCUUCCUGGCACCCUCUGCAAGCUGAGCAACAAGUGGGCCUCACACUUGCCCUCCAGGGACUUCAAGGGAAGCCACAUGUGCACACCUAGACACAUGCCUACACGCACACAUGUGUGCACACACACAUUCACCCAACACAUAGACACAAACACAUGACAUACAGGACAGGCAAUAUGUAUACUCACAUGUGCAAACACAUGUACCCACAUGAACACAGAAGCAUGCCUGAGCAUUUGACACAUAACCACAUCAAUCUGUGUAUACAUGAACAUACACAAAUUUACCCACUCAUAUCCACACAUGGACAUACCAGCAGUGCCCACAUGCAUAUACCCAGAGGCACAUGGACACAUGUAUCCACAGGGAUACUUAAGAUACAUCCCUUCCCAGCCUCAGGGGGAUGGGCUGCCCUAUCCUGACCGAGCCCCGCCUCCCUUCCUGCUCACCUUGGCAACUAGGCAGGUCUGCCUGAUACAAGAUGCUCUCUGCUUGUUAGACUCAUGAGGACUCCUCCAUUCUACAUGAUGUCACUGUUUUGGGUUCAUCUGUUGAUGUCUGCCCAUGAUAACUGGGGUCGACGGCCACACAGAGCAUGGAGGGAUGUGAGAGUCACAGACGUGUGGUCUUGGGCAUGGGGCACUCCCAAGGCCAGCACCCAUGCUCCAGGGUGUUUGCUUUGCCCGCUGACUUGGCUGUGAUCUUAGACAACUGCUCGGUCUUCCUGCCUCUCUUUCUUACUGGAAAAGAGAAAAUCAUUCUUUGCUUUUUCACUCAACAGAUACAUAGGAAGCUUGGAUGUGGCAUGGGAUGCCAAGUGAGCCUUGAUUUUGGGGGCCUCUGUGCUCUUGCAGGAGGUAAGCUGCAAGUGGCACCUGUCCCCGGAAAGAGUUCAGCAGGGCCAAGCGUUUCAGGGUGAGGGAGGUGAGGGAGGACCACUCAGCUUGCUGGCUGAUGCUGCAGCCUCUGAGCUGGAGGAAGGAGAGGCCUUGCCUUGUGUCAAUGCUUGGAGAAGGGCACCCAGGAACAUGGUAAGUGCAAAGGCCCUGAGGUAGAACUUCAGACAGCAAAGAGGCCUGUGUGGCUGUGAGACCAGAAGCCCACAGGUUGUUUGUGAUUCUGUGACCACAGUGGGGGCCUUGAAAGGUAGCCUGGGGCCUUGAACCCCCAGGGUCCAAGCUAGAUGCCACACUGUUCAGGAGUCAGGGGGAGCAGUGGCCAUGGGGGCACUGGAGUGGCUGGAUUUGAUGGUAUGGGACAGCACAUGGGUGGGGGGUCAGGAAGGCGGGGCCUCAGGGAGAGGCCUGGUCAGAGCCGGGUGAGGGAACCAUCAGUGUGUAAGUGGUGUUUAACGUCACGGCGGUAGCAAGAUGGGCCAAGGAUAAUAACAGCCCUUCCUGAGGUUGUGAGAGUCAGACAGGCUGAUCCAGGGCUGCUUGGCACAUAAUAAGCACUGGGGCUGUGAGCUCAAACAAACAAACACAGCCAUCUGGCAGUCUCCAGGGGAACCUCACUCCCCGCUGGGGAGGAAGCCGGCAGCAUGGAGUGAGGAGACUCCCGGCCCAGGCCAGCUUGGAGGCCCCAGAGCUAUGCUGGCGGGCCCCAGUGGGCAGACCGCAGGCUCGGUCUCGUGGUGCCAUGGCAGACCUCCUUCAGGAACCAAAAUGCCCAGGAAGUGAACCGGAGGAGCCGCCGGCAACCAGAUGAGGCCUGGACUUGCUGGUCUGGAAGCUUCCAGACACUGCCUGAAAGUGCUGGCAUCUUCACCUCGCUGGUGUCACUCUUCAGUCACCAUCUCCAGCCCCUGGCCCUGAGGGCACCGUGGCUUAAUGCAUGAGUUACAGCAGGAAGAGUUACAGCAGUGCCUGGGAAGAGCUCAGCACUCAGGAUUCUCCACCUGUUAAUUUAGGCAGUUCUCACACAGUCUCUUCUGCCUGGUACUGCUGUUUUCACCUCCAUUUUACUUGGAAACCUGAAGCCCAGCAAAGGUAAUGAGCUUUGCUAAAGCUCCACAAAUGAUGGUGAUAGAUGCCAGACCCCGCCCUCGGUCUCUCCGAGCCUGAGUCUGCUCUCACCUAGUAGCAUCUGUGUCAGCUUUCCCAUCACUGGACACAGUAGCCAACACCCACAACUUAAAGGAGGUUAAAGCUGGCUCCCAUUUUAAGGAGAUCCAGUCUGUGGCCAGCUGGCUCCACGGCUAGCACCUCUAACUACAGUUGCGGUUUCUUUAAAAUGUAUUUCUUCCCAUAAUCUCAUCAGCUUCUGCUUCUCUGUUUUGAUGCUACAGCCUUGGUACAUCUGUGUUCAAAAUCAUCCUUCUCUCCUAUUUUCUUAGUGUUUUUGCUUGGUGUAGGGCAUCCUCUUUGAUUCUUAUUUUUAUUUCAACACAUAUUUUAAUCUUUUAAUAAGAUUUUGGCUUUUACACAUUUAAUUCUUUUGCUUCUUAUUUCUUGUUUCAUGUAAAUAUUAAAUUACUGCUGCUGCUUAAAAGUACC